rnacentral:lncRNA from 1 species
UAAAUAUGGCUUCAUGACAAAUUAAUGAUGACUUGUUAUAUAGAUUUUUGCUGCUAAGUCCCAUGUUACGUUUCACAUUGAACCUUCUAAUCCAAUUAUAUAUCUCUUCCUCUUUUUUUUCUUUUUCUUUUUUUUUUGUUAAUGUCACAACAAUAGAUUUUUUGCUAUAAAUCUUGACGAUCCUCAUAACUUAUUGUUAAAACAAGUGUCAUAUCAAAUAAG